rnacentral:rRNA from 1 species
AUGUCGCCACCGACGCCGACGCCUGCCAACGGCGGCAGGCUGGAUCUGGACGGCGUGCUCGUAGCACUGCUCACCAUCUGCGUGAUCUGGGCCGACGAGUUCAUCUCCUCCUACCUCUGCGAGAAGCUCAUGUCCGAGACCCCGCACUCUGUCCUCGCUGUCGACCACCUCGUCGACCCACCCCCGCCCCACCUCGCCGACCGCAUCUCCUUCCACUGCCUCAACAUCAUGAACAACACCCGCCUGGAGGGCCUCAUCAAGACGUCCGAUCUGGUGUUGGUAGUACAAGGAAAGAAGUACGGCAUCAGGCUGCAGAAAUAUCUUUAA